CGCGUAGGUGGUUGCGUAAGUCGGAUGUGAAAUCCUGAGGCUUAACCUCAGAACUGCAUCUGAUACUGCGUGACUCGAGUGCAGCAGAGGGAAACGGAAUUCCUGGUGUAGAGGUGAAAUUCGUAGAUAUCAGGAGGAACACCGGUGGCGAAGGCGGUUUCCUGGGCUGACACUGACACUGAGGCGCGAAAGCGUGGGUAGCAAACAGGAUUAGAUACCCUGGUAGUCCACGCUGUAAACGGUGAGUACUGGGUGUGGGAGGUGUAAUGCCUUCUGUGCCGAAGCUAACGCGUUAAGUACUCCGCCGUGGGGAGUACGGCCGACAAGGUUGAA
rnacentral:rRNA from 1 species